UACGAGGGGGGCAAGCGUUGUUCGGAAUUAUUGGGCGUAAAGGGUGCGUAGGCGGUCUGAUAAGUCAUCUGUGAAAUCUAUGGGCUCAACCCAUAGUCUGCAGGCGAAACUGUCGGGCUUGAGUAUGGGAGAGGUGAGUGGAAUUUCCGGUGUAGCGGUGAAAUGCGUAGAUAUCGGAAGGAACACCUGUGGCGAAAGCGGCACACUGGACCAUUACUGACGCUGAUGCACGAAAGCUAGGGGAGCAAACAGG
rnacentral:rRNA from 1 species